GAACUUCUCAUUAUCCUCUUCAGCGACUUUUACCAAGUUCUCGAGCAAAUAUUGUCUUUCUUUCGGUCCAAGGUUUUGGACGUUGACUUCAGUAGCGCCACCUUCUGAUGUUGUUAGUAUACCUUUCUUCAAACGACUGUAGGUAGGUAAUCUCUCAAGUGCAGCCCAUUUCAGAGCCUCCUCAUCGUCUUCUUCUCUUGAAGAUUUUGAGAAAACUUCAGUGACGUUAUCCAUUUCAUAAAGAUGAGCACCCCCAGUAAUAACUAAAAACCUAUCAAUGUUUCUUCCCCAUAUUUGAACUUUGAACUAAAGAGAUCGAAGAUUGUGAACUCUCAAGUUAAAGAAAUUUAAAAAAAAGAGAAAUGAUUUUCUUUAAAGAGAUGGAAACGAGGAGAGUGACGUAGUACAGAUGAG
rnacentral:misc_RNA from 1 species